UACGGGGCGUUUUAUGGGAAAUCCCAGCUCCUACUCUUGCUAUCAGGUGGCAUCUCCCACACUUGUCCACGGUCCCUGAUCCCACGGGACACAUGGGACAGGAGUCCCGGGUGCCCCAAGUCACCCAGUGCCGCUUUCAGACCAACACAGCUGGGCCUUGCUGGGACGCAAACGGCUGGUUUUAUCCCCCGAAAGGCAACUGUUUCCUGCCAGAAAAUGACAUUCCAUCGAUAAAUACUCGGGAUGGAAAAUGUUUGACCUUCCUUAUUCCUUGGCUCCCAUGGGCAGCUGGCCAGGGAGGAGAAACCAUCGGCUCCCCUUGUCCUCUUCAGCCCAGUUGCAGCUUCUGCUGGACACCAGGAGGGACGUGUGCCUGAAUGCCAUGAGCAUCCGAGACCAUUUGCCGGCCGGCGAGGGGGUGAUCAGGCGGUGUCUUCAGCGUGAAUCCAACCGAAAGCCAAUGCCUUUUUCUCCCGGUUUGGAAGGUGUCCGGUGGCCGUGUCGCUGAUGGAUGUGGCAAAGGCAAGGGAAUUAGCAAACCCAGGAUGGAGAUACACGGUCCGGCAGAGCAGAAACGGGGAUUUCGGAACGGCGCGGGGGGCUCUGCACCCACCAGCACCCAAAGGUGCCCCAAGAGUAAGGAGCUGGGGAAGAUGAAUUUGCGAUGGAGCCUAGCUCGCCGGAGGGGUUAAAGCUCCGCUCCCGGGAAGAGCCGGCUCCUUUCCAGCCUGAGUAAGGCCAUCGUUCCUGCCAAAACCCGUCACCGAAGGCUGUUGCGGGGUGGGUUUUUUUUUUUUUUUUUCCGGCUGUAAACAACAUCGAUGCUCGCCGGUGCCGCACAGCCCGCGGGGCCGGCACCGCUCCAACCCAGAAGGCGUUUUGAUGAUGUUGGUUAAUUAAGGAGCUGGCGAAAGGCAUGACCCAGGCGCUGGCAGAGGAACCAGCUGCUGGGACAGGAGGGGGUCUGCAGCCACCCCGGCCCCUUCCCCGGCCCCGUCGCCGCUUUGGGGUCAUAUUUGGCAAAACCCUUGGGAAGGACGGCGGGGAUUUGCGGCCGCGGCGAGGACGAGAAGCACCACGGCAGCGCCGGGCAGGGUGUCUGGCCAAACCAUGGCUGCUUAUUUUCAAAUACCCGCCUGGACCACCCUUCCCGGCCCCAAAUUUUCAGGGCAUGGAAAGCCACCGGUUGCGUUGCAGUGAGGAGGGACACACCGGUGUCACCUCCAGGCCCCAGCCAGCGCGGUGGGACGGGCACAGCGAGGGGGAAUGGAGGUGGCUGGAGGGGUUAAAUCUCCUCUCCCGCUCCCGGGAAAGGGCCGGCUCCUUUCCAGCCUGAGUAAACCCAUCACCCUGCCAAAAUCCUACUCGGCGCUCAAGGCCGGCGCGGGGUUUUUCCGCCCGAGGAGCGACGCUCGAUGCCUGACGCGGGGGUACGGAGCAGGGAACGCAGCCCAGCAUAAGCUGGCUGUGAGCCGGUGAUUCCAGCACCCCAAAAUCCUGCAGGAUCUGGCCCAGGACACCAUCCAGCGCUCGGGGUGCCUGCGCUGGUUCCAGCCUCCGCAGCUCCAUCCGGCAGCUCCGGC